AUGUGCUUAACGUGGUGUUAAGUANNAAGGGGNNCUUCGGACCUCUUCGCCAUUAGAUUAGCCCAAGUGAGAUUAGCUAGUAGGUGAGGUAAAGGCUCACCUAGGCGNCGAUCUCUAGCUGGUUUGAGAGGAUGAUCAGCCACACUGGGACUGAGACACGGCCCAGACUCCUACGGGAGGCAGCAGUGGGGAAUAUUGCACAAUGGGGGAAACCCUGAUGCAGCCAUGCCGCGUGUGUGAAGAAGGCCUUCGGGUUGUAAAGCACUUUCAGUUGCGAGGAAAGGGGUGUCGUUAAUAGCGGCAUUCUGUGACGUUAACAACAGAAGAAGC
rnacentral:rRNA from 1 species